GCCUCUACUGACGCUAAAGCUCGAAGGUGCGGGUAUCGAACAGGAUUAGAUACCCUGGUAGUCCGCACGGUAAACGAUGGAUGCCCGCUGUUUGCGAUACACUGUGAGCGGCCAAGCGAAAGCGUUAAGCAUCCCACCUGGGGAGUACGCCGGCAACGGUGAAACUCAAAGGAAUUGACGGGGGCCCGCACAAGCGGAGGAACAUGUGGUUUAAUUCGAUGAUACGCGAGGAACCUUACCCGGGCUUGAACUGCCGGCGAACGAUACAGAGAUGUUGAGGCCCUUCGGGGCGCCGGCGGAGGUGCUGCAUGGUUGUCGUCAGCUCGUGCCGUGAGGUGUCGGCUUAAGUGCCAUAACGAGCGCAACCCCUCUCCGUAGUUGCCAUCGGGUGAUGCCGGGCACUCUGCGGACACUGCCACCGUAAGGUGUGAGGAAGGUGGGGAUGACGUCAAAUCAGCACGGCCCUUACGUCCGGGGCUACACACGUGUUACAAUGGGUGGUACAGAGGGCAGGCGUCCGGCAACGUCCGUCUAAUCCCGAAAGCCAUCCUCAGUUCGGACUGGGGUCUGCAACCCGACCCCACGAAGCUGGAUUCGCUAG
rnacentral:rRNA from 1 species